GGGAUCAUUACCGAGUUUACAACUCCCAAACCCCUGUGAACAUACCUUAUGUUGCCUCGGCGGAUCAGCCCGCGCCCCGUAAAAAGGGACGGCCCGCCGCAGGAACCCUAAACUCUGUUUUUAGUGGAACUUCUGAGUAUAAAAAACAAAUAAAUCAAAACUUUCAACAACGGAUCUCUUGGUUCUGGCAUCGAUGAAGAACGCAGCAAAAUGCGAUAAGUAAUGUGAAUUGCAGAAUUCAGUGAAUCAUCGAAUCUUUGAACGCACAUUGCGCCCGCCAGUAUUCUGGCGGGCAUGCCUGUUCGAGCGUCAUUUCAACCCUCAAGCCCAGCUUGGUGUUGGGAGCUGCAGUCCUGCUGCACUCCCCAAAUACAUUGGCGGUCACGUCGAGCUUCCAUAGCGUAGUAAUUUACAUAUCGUUACUGGUAAUCGUCGCGGCCACGCCGUUAAACCCCAACUUCUGAAUGUUGACCUCGGAUCAGGUAGGAAUACCCGCUGAACUUAAGCAUAUCAAUAAGC
rnacentral:rRNA from 1 species